CCUACGGGCGGCAGCAGUGGGGAAUAUUGGGCAAUGGGCGCAAGCCUGACCCAGCAAUGCCGCGUGAAGGAAGAAGGCUUUCGGGUUGUAAACUUCUUUGACAGGGGAAGAGCAGAAGACGGUACCCUGAAAACAAGCCACGGCUAACUACGUGCCAGCAGCCGCGGUAAUACGUAGGUGGCAAGCGUUGUCCGGAUUUACUGGGUGUAAAGGGCGUGUAGCCGGGAAGGCAAGUCAGAUGUGAAAUCUGGAGGCUCAACCUCCAAAUUGCAUUUGAAACUGUUUUUCUGGGGUACUGGAGAGGCAGACGGAAUUCCUUGUGUAGCGGUGAAAUGCGUAGAUAUAAGGAGGAACACCAGUGGCGAAAGCGGUCUGCUGGACAGCAACUGACGGUGAGGCGCGAAAGCGUGGGGAGCAAACAGGAUUAGAUAUAGUAGUC
rnacentral:rRNA from 1 species